rnacentral:rRNA from 1 species
GAUGAACGCUAGCUACAGGCUUAACACAUGCAAGUCGAGGGGCAUCAGGAACAAAGCUUGCUUUGUUUGCUGGCGACCGGCGCACGGGUGAGUAACGCGUAUCCGACCUACCCAUAACUCGGGCACAGCCGCUCGAAAGAGCGAUUGAUUCCCGAUAUGUCCUUGGAGUAGAUUCAAUGAUGAAAGAUUUAUCGGUUAUGGAUGGGGAUGCGUAAGAUUAGGUAGUAGGCGGGGUAACGGCCCACCUAGCCGACGAUCUUUAGGGGUUCUGAGAGGAAGGUCCCCCACACUGGUACUGAGACACGGACCAGACUCCUACGGGAGGCAGCAGUGAGGAAUAUUGGUCAAUGGGCGGAAGCCUGAACCAGCCAAGUAGCGUGAAGGAUGAAGGUUCUAUGGAUUGUAAACUUCUUUUAUACGGGAAUAACAUCACCUACGUGUAGGUGCCUGCAUGUACCGUAUGAAUAAGCAUCGGCUAACUCCGUGCCAGCAGCCG